rnacentral:rRNA from 1 species
CUACGGGCCGCUCCAGUGGGGAAUCUUGGACAAUGGGCGCAAGCCUGAUCCAGCCAUGCCGCGUGAGUGAAGAAGGCCUUAGGGUCGUAAAGUUCUUUCGCCAGAGAUGAUAAUGACAGUAUCUGGUAAAGAAACCCCGGCUAACUCCGUGCCAGCAGCCGCGGUAAUACGGAGGGGGUUAGCGUUGUUCGGAAUUACUGGGCGUAAAGCGCGCGUAGGCGGAUUAGUCAGUCAGAGGUGAAAUCCCAGGGCUCAACCCUGGAACUGCCUUUGAUACUGCUAGUAUUGAGUUCGAGAGAGGUGAGUGGAAUUCCGAGUGUAGAGGUGAAAUUCGUAGAUAUUCGGAGGAACACCAGUGGCGAAGGCGGCUCACUGGCUCGAUACUGUCGCUGAGGUGCGAAAGUGUGGGGAGCAAACAGGAUUAGAUACCCCCGUAGUC